UUUUGUAACUUAUUUUUGUCAGCUGAAAAAACUUAACUUUACUCGUAUAAAGUAUGGCUUUAGAGCUUAUACAGAAGUAUGCACACGUAGCAAGUUGAAAAAUUAUUUAUGGUUAAAAACAAAGGGUAUGAUAUUAUUUUUUACCUGACAUUGUUUGUGACAUGACUGCUAACCCGAAAUGAAAUAAUAGCGCACGGUGUUGUAAAUUGGUACGAGUGUAAAAAUGUAGAGAAAAGAAGAUACUGAAAAGUAAAGUAGUUUUAGGGUGUGAUCGUGAAUCUUCUCGUACUCGGACAUCUAAUUUUGUUCAUCCUUACAAAACGACAUACAAAGGUUGUUUGUGGAAUAAAACCAAGAAUUCUGAACAUCCAAAACAUUGUAGUACUCAGUGAGUGUAUGUACGUAUCUCCUGUAUAUUUAUAUGCGAAGCAAAGCAGUAUGGUCAGCUACACUAAACUACACUAGGAAGCUUUAACGCCUUUGUAUCAGCAUUUAUCUGUUAUGUUACGUGCCUUCAAAAUUGCCGAGCUGAAUGGAAUUCUUGAUCAUAUGAAAAAGUAACACAAGAAAUUCCAAGAGAGCUUUAUUUCGCAUCAAAGGUUUUUUAGAUUCAGUACGAAUAAUUUUUUUUAUCUCAAGCUAUGUAUCGGUACAAGUUAAAUCCAAUUGGCAAGAGUCUCAAAACAAUUGUACACUGGGGCCAACAAAGCGAUGACAAAGUGAGUGGUGGGAACAAAACCAGCUCUGGUCACGUAUCGAUAACUAUGUUUUCAGAUUCGUUCGCAACGACUAUUUUAUCAGUACAUAUACACACAUUUUCCUUUGUUCUUUGUCUUUAUUAUGGUAUACAGAAAAUUCUUUGUCAGUUUGAACCGAUAGUGGUAACAAUAUCUAACCGUAUCUAACGAUUUUAUAUACUGAUUUAUAUAAAUAAUAUAAAAUUUGUUUCAGGAAUUCGCGGAUCGUUUUUCAAUAGUUUCUUUAUACUAUAAAAAAUUCCACACAUAAAAAUUUCAUUUAAUUAGUAAUGAGAUUUAUUAAAAACUUAUCGUAAAUUUACUUUUUCAAAAUAAUCUAUAUGUUCUAUUUUUUUUCGUGCUUUAUUUCCCGACUAUCGAACGAUUCUCACUUUAACGUAUUUCACGCAAUUCUAAUUUUGCCUGUCUACCUGUAAAUCAAACGCUUGCAAUAGUCUACAAUUUUAUUUUUUCCUUUUAAAACCUUCCAAUCACAGAAUUGUAAUUAGUUCUACAUACAUCCCGGAGGAGAAAAUUUAACUGGACCAACAGAGCCGGAAAAAUGACAAUUUAAACUGAUUAUACAUUUCAAAAUGUCAUGUUAAAAUUUCAACUGACGCACAAUGUAUACUCAUUAUAAAUUAUGUAUAAACAAUAAUUAAAAAAUAAACAAAAAUACACAAUUAGCUCUUUCAACAUCACAAUGGAUGUUUAUGGAGUUAUGUAAAUUUAUCUUCGCUGGGGAAUUAUUAUAAUAAUGCUGGCCAAAUUAUUUCUAGCGUAAAAACGUCACCAGUAUUAUACUAAAGAAAUAUAAAUUACAAAAAAAAAAUUAAUUAUUGUACUUAUGAAAUAAAAAACAAUAAAAGAUUUAUA